CAAUAGCGUAUAUUAAAGUUGUUGCGGUUAAAAAGCUCGUAGUUGGAUUUCUGCUGAGAACGACCGGUCCGCCCUUUGGGUGUGUAUCUGGCUCUUUCUUGGCAUCUUCUUGGUGAACGUUGCUGCACUUGACUGUGUGGAGCGCUACCCAGGACUUUUACUUUGAGGAAAUUAGAGUGUUUCAAGCAGGCAUACGCCUUGAAUACAUUAGCAUGGAAUAAUAGAAUAGGACUUUGGUUCUAUUUUGUUGGUUUCUAGGACCGAAGUAAUGAUUAAUAGGGAUAGUUGGGGGCAUUAGUAUUUAAUUGUCAGAGGUGAAAUUCUUGGAUUUAUGAAAGACUAACAUCUGCGAAAGCAUUUGCCAAGGAUGUUUUCAUUG
rnacentral:rRNA from 1 species